UAAUGCAGAGACAUGGGAGGAAUGUGUCUAUAUAUUGAGUUUGAAAUAGGAUGCGUGUUAUUUGGCCAUUGGCACAGUUUUAUUGCAUGGAAUUCUAAUUGGUCAACCACAGGCUAGGGCUGGGUUAUAAACUACAUCCUGUUCAUUUGUUCUGUGGGGAGAAUCACUGAGGACAGGGGAACAUGAACAUCUGCCAUCUACCUCUCAGCAUAAUAUCUUUGAUUUAUCGUAUUUGAAUAAACCAAUUUUCCUCCUCCUGAUUUGCUUUGGGGUCAGUGUAAUAAAAGAAUAACAUCAGCUGCUAACAUUUGGUGUCGUGACCGUGUGAAUUGGUCUGAACAACAAGAAAAACCCAACGGUGUGUUGAUCCAGAAGAAAGAGUGAAGGCUGAGCACAACCCACCUUGGGAGAGUCAACUCUUAAUCUCCUGAUUGAUGGCAGAAGUGCUGGGUGAGUCUAGACCAAUAUAAGUUUAAAAUAUCCAAAUUAGGUUAAAAUAUAUGCAUGGAAUAAGUGAUAGGUAUCUGUGAUGUAUAGGGGUUUGAGUCCUCUAUAUAAGGGUUGAGUCCUUUUGUUAAAUCCAGUGAUGUAUAGGGGUUUGAGUCCUCUAUAUAAGGGUUGAGUCCUUUUGUUAAAUCCAGUGAUGUAUAAGGGUUUGAGUCCUCUAUAUAAGGGUUGAGUCCUUUUGUUAAAUCCAGUGAUGUAUAGGGGUUUGAGUCCUCUAUAUAAGGGUUGAGUCCUUUUGUUAAAUCCAGUGAUGUAUAGGGGUUUGAGUCCUCUAUAUAAGGUUUGAGUCCUCUAUAUAAGGUUUGAGUCCUCUAUAUAAGGGUUGAGUCAUUUUGAUAAAUCCAGUGAUGUAUAGGGGUUUGAGUCCUCUAUAUAAGGGUUGAGUCCUUUUGUUAAAUCCAGUGAUGUAUAGGGGUUUGAGUCCUCUAUAUAAGGGUUGAGUCCUUUUGUUAAAUCCAGUGAUGUAUAGGGGUUUGAGUCCUCUAUAUAAGGUUUGAGUCCUCUAUAUAAGGUUUGAGUCCUCUAUAUAAGGUUUGAGUCCUCUAUAUAAGGUUUGAGUCCUCUAUAUAAGGGUUGAGUCAUUUUGAUAAAUCCAGUGAUGUAUAGGGGUUUGAGUCCUCUAUAUAAGGGUUGAGUCCUUUUGUUAAAUCCAGUGAUGUAUAGGGGUUUGAGUCCUCUAUAUAAGGGUUGAGUCCUUUUGUUAAAUCCAGUGAUGUAUAGGGGUUUGAGUCCUCUAUAUAAGGGUUGAGUCCUUUUGUAAAAUCCAGUGAUGUAUAAGGGUUUGAGUCCUCUAUAUAAGGGUUGAGUCCUUUUGUUAAAUCCAGUGAUGUAUAGGGGUUUGAGUCCUCUAUAUAAGGGUUGAGUCCUUUUGUUAAAUCCAGUGAUGUAUAGGGGUUUGAGUCCUCUAUAUAAGGGUUGAGUCCUUUUGUUAAAUCCAGUGAUGUAUAGGGGUUUGAGUCCUCUAUAUAAGGGUUGAGUCCUUUUGUUAAAUCCAGUGAUGUAUAAGGUUAGAGUCCACUGU